rnacentral:rRNA from 1 species
AUUGAACGCUGGCGGCAGGCCUCACACAUGCAAGUCGAACGAGUGGCGGAAGGGAGCGUAAUGGAUGGGAAACUGCCUGAGGGAGGGGGAUAACUAACGGAACCGGUAGCUAAUACCGUACAAAAUCGGAUGUGUCCAGAUGGGAUUAGCUAGUCGGAGGGGUAAAGGCUCACCUAGGCGACGAUCCCUAGCUGGGCUGAGAGGAUGACCCGACACAGUGGAACUGAGACACGGUCCAGACUCCGACGGGAGGCAGCAGUGGGGAAUAUUGCACAAUGGGCGCAAGCCUGAUGCAGCCAUGCCGCGUGUAUGAAGAAGGCCUUCGGGUUGUAAAGUACUUUCAGCGGGGAGGCGUUACCCACAGAAGAAGCACCGGCUAACUCCGUGCCAGCCGCCGCGGUAAUAC